CAGUAGCCACGGGAAAACGAGGGGGGCAAGCGUUGUUCGGAAUUAUUGGGCGUAAAGCGUACGCAGGCGGUUUGUUAAGUCAGAUGUGAAAUCCCCGAGCUUAACUCGGGAACUGCAUUUGAAACUGGCAGGCUAGAGUCUCGUAGAGGGGGGUAGAAUUCCAGGUGUAGCGGUGAAAUGCGUAGAGAUCUGGAGGAAUACCGGUGGCGAAGGCGGCCCCCUGGACGAAGACUGACGCUCAGGUACGAAAGCGUGGGGAGCAAACAGGAUUAGAUACCCCUGUAGUCCCUGUCUCUUAUAC
rnacentral:rRNA from 1 species